AAUUUUGUGCUCAGGUACUGUAAAAGGCAGCCUCCUCUUCUUGCUCUCUGCUCUACUCGUCCGUCUCCCAAUUCUCUAAUGCCUGGAUCGGAAGGAGCUAUGGCAUCACCACCCCUACCAGUUCUACCACCAUCUCCUCCGGAGCAGAACUCGCCGCCGCCUCAACAAACGGAAGCGCCUCCCCAACGGCCCAACCCCGACGUCGCCUUUCGCCUUUGGCCUCCGACGCAGCCCACGCGCGACGCGAUCGUCUCGCGCGUCGUGGAGACGCUGUCCGCUCCAUCGGCGCUCUCCACUCGCUACGGAAGAUUGUCCCUGGAGGAGGCGACGUCCGUCGCCCGCGCCAUUGAACAGGAAGAGUACGCCUCCACCGUUGCCGCCGCCUCCGCCUCUGACGACGGCGCGGACGUCCUCCAGGCGUACGCCAGGGCGAUCGCCAGGCGCAUGCUAGACUCCGUCCAUCCGCGCACCGCUCGCGACCGCGGCUAUCUCCAGCCGAAGACCCCCGAAGUGUUGGAUGUCUCCCCUUCUUUCGAUCCCGAGGUCGAAAGGUCGUCGUCUUUUUGAGGUGGGGUGUUCUCUUUUUGGUCGCGCCUUCCUUUAGAUGACAAGCUCGGGGUUUUGAGGUGGUACUGUGAAGUAGUUUUGUCUGAUAGAAUAAUAUGUGAUGUUUGUUGUGGAUUUGUGCAUAACUUGUUCUACCCUUUACUCGAGAAUUAUUGUCGAUCUCGUAUGUGUUGUAAUUAAGGUAAUGUGGACGUCUGAAAGCCACUCGGUUGUUGAUUUGCUAUGAGGAAAGGCUCUCUUUUGUGCUAGAUUGUACUUUAUGUUUGGUUCUUAUCGCACUUCCUGUUUACCCGAAAUUGUUCGGCCCUCUGUUUUGAUCAAUUUUCCUACUCGCAAUUGGGCGAUGGAACUGUUUCUUAGGGAUCGUAGGCAUCAGAUCGCCCUAGAUUUUCAAAGUGUGCAUUGUAAUGUGAUACCUUGUAAUGCGGAUGUGUAGCAUGGCUACGUACCACAGGGUACAAGAACUGUCUCUUGAGGGACAGGGACAUAGAAGAACCCUUAUGAAGUUCAAUGUGAUCUGUCUUCUCCAUGCAAGAUUUUUUGUUGAAAAUGGGGCCUGUGGAUCACUAGUUCUACAUACGGUGAAGAUUACAAGCAUUAUCUUAUAUGUAAAUGUGUGUGUCCAAAUGAGGAAAUUAACUUGAUCAAAUUUGGGGGAAGUUUGAACAAUGGUUAUCACUAACAAAGGUCAAAUGGCAAAAUCAAAUGAAAACCCUUUUCAACAGCUUUCUGGUGCAGCUUGGCUCAUGGAUCUGCAACAAGUUUUGGUGUCGAGUCUCGGAGCAUUGUUGAAUGGAAACAAACCACGUGACCUACAGGACACCGGACACCACCAUUUCACGAUUCCUUAUGCUUUAAAUUGAAAAACUGGUGGCAACUUUUUAGCUAAGCGAACAGCCUAUUUUCAAGCUGCUGGUCAUCUUUCAUUACCCGUCUCUAUUGCUCUUUUUACCAGAUGAUGUCUAGGCAUCAGAUGGUGAUAUCUUUUGGUUCUACAGCUAGUUACAAGAACUUGUUCGAUGUGUAUAGAUUCGGUUCAAUGUUCAAUAAUUUAAGCCUUUUUGCAUCCAUCAUACAUACUUCCCACAAGGUUGGCCAGGAGUGCAUUUUUUUUUUUUUCGAUCUUCUAA